CGUCCUGCAUCGCGGGCGAUCGCCGUCGCCAGUAGAUUCGGAUGGUCCUGCAUCGCAGGCACCAGGUCGACGCUGCCGCAACAUCGAGAGACGCCGAGUCUAGGUACACACCGUUGAAACUAUUUCGAAACAUAUAUUUGUAACGGCUAAUUAGACAGGAAGGCAUGUUAUAGGUGCCAUGUUCUUCUUGCCCGUUGCUAUUGCAAUUGAAAGGUAUGCAGAUUUUUGGCUUGUUAUUUGCCUGGAUUAUAUGGUAGGUAAAAGUACAAGGCAGAGGUAAAAGUGAUGGCGUCUUGGUUGGCUGGCAUUUUGUGAUCCUAAUGAUGCACUCAACCAGUUCCAUCAGAAUGUUGUGAACUUGCUAGAGUCUGAUGUAGAUACUCUUUAAAGAAGAAUGAACAAGAUUGAAGCUCUUAUAAGGAGAAGAAACGACCAAAGAAGAUUGUUGACGCUAGCUUGGAGAUCUAGUCCUAUUUUACAAAUGUUUGAUAAACUUCCAUGGAUUUUGGCUUUUGUAAUAGGCAGUACAAUUUAAGUUCCGUAUGGAUAUUUGCUAGUGUGAAAGUGUACACAAGCGACAAGCUUCUGCAUUCUUAAGCAACAAUCUGCAUUACUUAAGCAAUGAGUAGAAGGGCUGGAAGAGUUCCUACCUGCUUUACAGACCAAGUUCAUUUUAUCUGUAAGUCUAAGUAUUGUUCUGUAAACAUGUCCGUGCCUGCUUCAUAGAACUCUUCCAGAUUUUGUGAACAUGUUAUGUGAAGUAAUUACAAUAAAA